rnacentral:rRNA from 1 species
UACGUAGGGUGCAAGCGUUAAUCGGAAUUACUGGGCGUAAAGCGUGCGCAGGCGGUGAUGUAAGACAGUUGUGAAAUCCCCGGGCUCAACCUGGGAACUGCAUCUGUGACUGCAUCGCUGGAGUGCGGCAGAGGGGGGAUGGAAUUCCGCGUGUAGCAGUGAAAUGCGUAGAUAUGCGGAGGAACACCGAUGGCGAGGCAAUCCCCUGGGCCGCACUGACGCUCAUGCACGAAAGCGUGGGGAGCAAACAGG